rnacentral:rRNA from 1 species
CCUACGGGAGGCAGCAGUAGGGAAUCUUCCGCAAUGGACGCAAGUCUGACGGAGCAACGCCGCGUGAGUGAAGAAGGUUUUCGGAUCGUAAAACUCUGUUGUUAGAGAAGAACACGUGCUAGAGUAACUGUUAGCGCCUUGACGGUAUCUAACCAGAAAGCCACGGCUAACUACGUGCCAGCAGCCGCGGUAAUACGUAGGUGGCAAGCGUUGUCCGGAUUUAUUGGGCGUAAAGGGAGCGCAGGCGGUUCCUUAAGUCCGAUGUGAAAGCCCCUGGCUCAACCGGGGAGGGUCAUUAGAAACUGGGAAACUAGAGUGCAGAAGAGGCAAGUGGAACUCCAUGUGUAGCGGUGAAAUGCGUAGAUAUAUGGAGGAACACCAGUGGCGAAGGCGACUCUCUGGUUUGAAACUGACGCUGAGGCUCGAAAGCGUGGGUAGCAAACAGGAUUAGAUACCCCGGUAGUC